rnacentral:lncRNA from 1 species
CGGCGGGGGAGGCCCGGGUCCCGCUUCUCCCCGGGGUGGGGUGGGGGUCCGCCCCGCGGCGCCGUUCUCCGCCGUCCCCGGAGGAGCGGAGAGCGCCGGAGGAUCCGCCAUGACGGGAGGAGGCGUCGCGCCGGAAGUGACGCAGUAAGGGACCGGAAGUAGACUGGUAACGGAGCGAGGGCAGGAAGUGGGUGGAGGCUGGACCGGAAGUUGUCCGUGGUCACGUGAGGCGUUGCUAGGAGACGGAGGGACGCCGCGAGGGCUUCGGGGAGGGUCCAGUGUGGACCAGUAUAGGCCAGUAUAAACCAGUAUGGACCAGAAUAGAGCAGUGUGGAACCAGUAUGGCCCAAUAUGGAACCAGCACGGCCCAGUAUGGACCAGUAGAGCCCAAUAUGGCCUGCUGUGGACAAGUGUGGACCACCAUGAAACCAGUAUGGACCAGUAUAAACCAGCAUGGAACCAAUAUGGACAAAUAUAGCCCAGCGCUCCCCAUUAUGGCUCCGGAUGGAACCAGCAUGGACCAGUAAAAACCAGCAUGGAACCAAUAUGGGCCAAUAUGGCCCCAUUAUGGCUCCGGAUGGCACCAGUAUGGACCAGUAUAAACCAGCAUGGAACCAGUGUGGAACCAAUAUGGCCCAGCGCUCCCAUUACAGCUCAGGACGGCACCAGUAUGGACCAGUAUAAACCAGCAUGGAACCAAUAUGGGCCGAUAUGUCCCAGCGCUCCCCAUUACGGCUCUGGACGGAACCAGUAUGGAACAAGUGUCGCCAAGCACGGACCGGAAUGUAACCACUAUGGACCAGUAUAGACCAGUACAGCCUCUUCUCCCAGCCGUCACCGCUCGGUCCCCUCCCGCCUCGGGGUCAGAGGUCACCGCUUUCGGCCCCUCCCCCCAUGCCUUGCGCAAUCAACCUCUGUAAGCCCAGGUCAGGUUCUAAAGCAGGGACAUUUACUCAGCGCCGCCCAUGCACGCCGGCUGCGAGGAGCCCCAGCCAAAAGCGUGAGCCAUCGAAAAGCCGAACUCAUCCGUAUUCAUUGGGCCCUGUUCCAUAUUCGUGACUUUUCCUCCUGUCAACGGUUCACGGGCGUUCGGCCCGGUUCCGUGUCGAAGGGGACGGCCAAACUCAUCCGUAUUCAUUGGGCCCUGUUCCAUAUUCAUGACUUUUCCUCCUGUCAACGGUUCAUGGGCGUUCGGCCCGGUUCCGUGACAAAGAGGAUGGGGAACCCAAGGGCCCACGUCCCGGGAAAAGGGGAAAAGGGGAAAAGGGGAAAAGGGGAAAAGGGGAAAAGGGGAAAAAAAGGGGAAAAGGGGAAAA